rnacentral:rRNA from 1 species
AUAGUCAAUGGCCUNACGGCUGACCAGCAACUUGGGGGAAUGAAUAGCUUCGGCUAAUUAUACUUGGCUGUUUAAUUUAUUAUAUUAAAUUUAAAAAUUUAAUUUAAUAGAUUAUUCAUUUUAACCUUAUGUAAUGUAAUGGUUAAUUAAUUUACCACUUCUAUAUGAGUAUGAGGAUUUGGGUCCUCAUGGACAAGUAUAAGAUCGAUUUUAUCGAAUAAAGUUCUAGAUAGAAUACUGAUUAUGACAAUUUUCUGUCUAUAUGUCUUGACCAAAAUACGUGCCAGCAGUCGCGGCAAUACGUAGAAGACUAGUGUUAUUCAUCUUUAAUAGGUUUAAAGGGUACCUAGACGGUAUAAUUAGUCUAAAAUAAGAUACGGUUAUACUAGAGUUAUAUAUGAGGAGGUGAGUAUUUAUGGAGUAGAGUUGAAAUUCGAUCAUCCCAUGACGACUGGUAUCGGCGAAAGCAACCUUUUAUCUAAUAACUGACGUUGAGGGACGAAGGCUCGGGUAACGAACAGGAUUAGAUACCCUAGUAGUCCAAGCAGAGAAUUAUGAAUGCCAUAGAUUAGAUAUUUUUAGUCUAUAAAUGAAAGUGUAAGCAUUUCACCUCAAGAGUAAUGUGGCAACGCAGGAACUGAAAUCAUUAGACCGUUUCUGAAACCAGUAGUGAAGUAUGUUAUUUAAUUCGUAAGUACGCGAAAAACCUUACCACAACUUGAAUAUUAUUUUACUGAUAUAUUAUAUAAAAUACUUUUAAUUAUUUUUUAUAAUAUACGUAUUAUAUUACAAGCGUUGCACGGCUGUCUUCAGUUAAUGUCGUGAGAUAUUGGUUAAUUCCAUUAAAUUAACGGAAACCCUUGCUUUAUUUGCAAAAAAUAGAAAUAAAGCUGUACACCAUCAUAUCGGAUAUGUUAACAGGGAUCAAGAUAAGUCAUCAUGGCCUAAAUGUUGUGGGCUAUAAC